CCCCUGACCAUACAUCCCCGGACAGAGCAGCUCCAAGCCAAACACACCCGUGCACAAACACACGGCAUUCAAGACCCUAGGGACAGUGCCCGAAGCACAUGUCGCGCUCCCUGAGCGCAAAGACUGACGAUGGCGUUGAGAGCCAAGGAAGAUGUAAGGCACAGAAGACAGACUACACAAACUACACACCACCACAGACACAGGCUGGAACUGCCCUGCCCGGCACACGCUGGUCUCGUGCUGAAAAGCAACCCGCUCCCUUCAUCUGCCCAAACAGGACUUCUCCUGGACAGCCCUGCCCUCCUACUCUAACUUUAAAACCCCUCCCUACAAUUCCCAGCUCUGUCCCUUCCUCCCAGCGUCUCCCCAGCCCGGGUCCCUCAACUUAACUUUCAGAGGGCCAAGGCUACGAGUCCAUCCUCCGCAAAAAUCACAUGGGCUAACUGGGAUGAUCCAGCAGUCGCCAGGUUCCUCUUCAUCAUCUGCACAGUGAAGACAAAAAAAACCAAAAAAAACCCACCAGCAACAAAAUCAGUAGAGGCAGUAAGUAACCCAUCAGCUAACACCAACUACUUACCCAACCCCCCGCUUAAUCACACACACCACAGUGUUAU